GCGUGGGUGAAGAAGGUCUUCGGAUUGUAAAGCCCUUUCGGCGGGGACGAUGAUGACGGUACCCGCAGAAGAAGCCCCGGCUAACUUCGUGCCAGCAGCCGCGGUAAUACGAAGGGGGCUAGCGUUGCUCGGAAUCACUGGGCGUAAAGGGCGCGUAGGCGGCCCAGAUAGUCAGGCGUGAAAUUCCUGGGCUCAACCCGGGGGCUGCGCUUGAUACGUCUGGGCUGGAGUGCAGGAGAGGGUCGCGGAAUUCCCAGUGUAGAGGUGAAAUUCGU
rnacentral:rRNA from 1 species